rnacentral:rRNA from 1 species
CAGCAGCCACGGUAAUACGUAGGGUGCGAGCGUUAAUCGGAAUUACUGGGCGUAAAGCGUGCGCAGGCGGUUGUGUAAGACUGGUGUGAAAUCCCCGGGCUUAACCUGGGAACUGCGCUUGUGACUGCACAGCUAGAGUAUGGCAGAGGGGGGUGGAAUUCCACGUGUAGCAGUGAAAUGCGUAGAGAUGUGGAGGAACACCGAUGGCGAAGGCAGCCCCCUGGGCCAAUACUGACGCUCAUGCACGAAAGCGUGGGGAGCAAACAGGAUUAGAUACCCCGGUAGUCCCUGUCUCUUAUAC